rnacentral:rRNA from 1 species
GCCUAGCCCUAAACACAGAUGGUUAUGUACACAAGACUAUCCGCCAGAGAACUACAAGCGAAAAGCUUGAAACUCAAAGGACUUGGCGGUGCCCCAAAUCACCCUAGAGGAGCCUGUCCUAUAAUCGAUACCCCACGUUUUACCUUACCAUCCUUUGCAACUCAGCCUAUAUACCGCCGUCGUCAGCCUACCUUAUGAAAGAAACAAAGUAAGCAAAAAAGUCAACAACUAACACGUCAGGUCAAGGUGUAGCACAUAAGAUGGAAGAGAUGGGCUACAUUUUUUAUUCUAAAAAAUACGGAAAGUGUAAUGAAAUACACACCCAAAGGUGGAUUUAGUAGUAAGAUAAAUAAGAGCCUUUAUCUUAAACUUGCUCUGGAG